AUGGGGCUCACGACCCAGGGACCCCCGUUCCUAUCUGAGAGGACCACUUCUUCCUGAAGCUGGAACCCGAUACUUGUUGGUGCCAACAACUGAAACCAGCAGGAAAAGAGGGUGUGUGAGCCGGGGGAAGACCAUGGUCAUCAGGAUCAUCAGCUCUGCAGGACUCUGAGACACCAUUCCUGGCUCCCAAGGCCUAGCACUGCCUCCAACCAGCUGGUGACAUGCCAAGAUGGAGAUGCGCCCAAUGGCAUGAGGAACUCAGUCAGGACCAACCUUGACCCCUGCUCCGGAUAUGGCAAACUGAUGUGCAGACACAUGUUUUCACGUGGAGCACGUGUGUCCAUUUGGAGGCCAGAAGUCAACCUCAGUAUUGUUCACUCAGCAAAUAUUGAACAAUAUUCUUUGGCACCGAGGACUCAGUCUAGCAAGGAAAUGAGCUGUCAAACAAACAUGACGCACCACAAGCCCAGGGCAUGUGGGAAUGUGGAAAGUGACCAGACCUUCUUGGCGCUUGGAAGGUCUCAGGAGGGAGAGCUGCUUAGCCUCAACCUGGCGCAUGGGCACAGGCCACCACGCAGACAAGAAAUGAAGGCACUGAAGGAAGCUAAAGAUGCCCCCAUUGUUGCUGUCUGCUGCUGCCUGCUGCUGCCUGCUGCUGCCUGCUGCUGCCUGCUGCAUUGGUAACCCUCCCCAGCAUCCCUGGAGAGACACCAUCCCAGUGUUCUAUACAACAGGCAAUAAGUAAACACCUGUUGGGGCUAGUGCCAUCGAUAUUGCCCGUGCUCAAUUAAAUAUGUCAUUUGUUUGGGAACUGGGGGGCCUUCUGUGUGGCAGUUUCAACG
rnacentral:lncRNA from 1 species